GAGAUCUCUUCCACCACAGGAUUCAGCCAAGAAGUCUUGAGGAGGAACUGCUUCAGUCUCCAAAUUUGAUCAAGCAGGGAGAUGUCCUCCACAGCUGGAUCUAAUAAGAAGUGAAUGUUGAUGAGCGUGUUCAGCCGGUGCCUAUUAGUAUUCAAGCUCUUGUGUAUGCGAACACCUUUGUUCUCCAUUGUGAGUGCUUGUUGAUCAAAUUCAUAUGUACAUCCUGCAACAUGGUUAGUGCAAUGUGGCUCCACAAAAAUAACAUGCAGGGGUAUAACACCCAAUAUCAGUGUAAGAGGCUGAACCUCAAAUAUAC
rnacentral:lncRNA from 1 species